GACGAACGCUGGCGGCGUGCUUAACACAUGCAGGUCGAGCGGAAAGGCCCUUCGGGGUACUCGAGCGGCGAACGGGUGAGUAACACGUGAGUAACCUGCCCCAGACUUUGGGAUAACCCUCGGAAACGGGGGCUAAUACCGGAUACGACACAGCUUCGCAUGGGGUCUGUGUGGAAAGUUUUUCGGUUUGGGAUGGGCUCGCGGCCUAUCAGCUUGUUGGUGGGGUGAUGGCCUACCAAGGCGACGACGGGUAGCCGGCCUGAGAGGGCGACCGGCCACACUGGGACUGAGACACGGCCCAGACUCCUACGGGAGGCAGCAGUGGGGAAUAUUGCACAAUGGGCGGAAGCCUGAUGCAGCGACGCCGCGUGAGGGAUGACGGCCUUCGGGUUGUAAACCUCUUUCAGCAGGGACGAAGCGUAAGUGACGGUACCUGCAGAAGAAGCGCCGGCCAACUACGUG
rnacentral:rRNA from 1 species